UAGUACGGGAGUAUCUUCAAGUGAGUGUGUGUGUGUGCGCUUCACUCAUGUCCAACUAGCUUGCACUAGCUGCAAAUUAGUUCCUUUCCCCUACUUCUGUUUGAUCCUCGGCUAGCUACGUUGUAGUUGGGCUAACAAUUGGUAUCGAAGCCCCAGGUUGCGGUAGCCAUGGCCGGUGAACAAGGAAAGAAGCAACGCACCACCUCGGGUGGUUUCCAGUCGCAGCCAUCACAGGACAGCUCCCAAUCGCCGGCUCCGCGGGAGCAGCGAGGGCGCAGCCGGUCCAGGCGCGACAAUAGUGGUGAGGUCGCGGUUAGGGAGAACGCGCGCGAGACCGUAGUCAGCGGUAGCGUACCCAUCACCUUCCCAAUGCUCACGCGCUCGAACUACAGCGAGUGGGUGUUGAUCAUGGAGUACAAACUCCAGCGGCGAGCCUUUGAGUUCCCAUGGAGGACGAUAUAGUCGAGAGAAAGGAGGACAGGAAUGUCGUGGCAGCGCUCAUGCGCGCCAUGUCCAUGCGAGAGGCAUAGAGCUCUUCAACUAAUCCCCUCCCGACAUCAGUAGCACUCUCCCCGACAACAACGUUCUCGGGGGCCUACAAUUGGGAGGCGAUGAAGACCCGGGUGUGGGGGAGCCACACCCUCGCAACCACGUCCCCUGAGACAAUGGACAAGCCCAUGCAAGUUGGUACGGCAAAAACGCAUUUGGGGGAACACACUCCGUCCAUGAUGAUGGCUACCAUCGAGUCUGUGCAGAAGCACACGUCAACUUAGGUCGGCCACACCCUGACAACCAGGUUCUUAGGGUUUCUGCAUGCCCGUGUGGGCGACACAACACUCUUCGUUUGCCUCAACAUGAAGUCUGACAGGCCACUCCCCGACAAAGUUGUUUUCAGGGCCUGUCAACUAGGAGGCGAUGAAGAGACUGUCAUGGGGCGGCAAGGCCUCAAACGUGACUAUGGCGACCUUCGGGGUCUCCCUUCUGAAACUGUUGGAAGUGGUGCAGGACGGUGGAAGCUCAUCGCACCCUUAGUGCAGGUGGAACAUGAUAGAUCAGAGAUGGCCGUCCGCACGUCUCAAGGGCAUGUCUUAGUGCCGGAAAGUCACAACCAGUUCUCUGCAUCUCCUUGCGAGGCCUUCAGCAGAUACUUUCAAGUGUUAGCUGGAAGUGCAAACUUUCCUCAGGCAUAUUGGUUACCAAGCCCAUUUGAGAAAUUAUUCAACCUAUUUCAUGGAUCAGGCAAAAUAAUCCAUUCACAAAUGUAUUUGGUCUGCUUUCAGUUCGUUGAUUUUAACAAGCUUGGGAAUAUUUCCACCUUUGCUAAAAGGUUUGUUUCAUUGGCAGCAUCAAUUGUGAAUCCGUUCGUUGAUGUUAACAACCUUGGGAAUAUUUCCUCCUUUGCUAAAAGGUUUGUUUCGUUGGCGGCAUCAAUUGUGAAUCCAGUGCAUAGCAAAUUGAAUAUUUACAUUUGUGUGCCCGCUAGACUUAUGCACAACUUGCUGGUCUUACUUGAUGUUUAAUAAUAGGGAUGGUGAAAUUGUAAUUAUUUGUUGUAUGUGAUCAUUUUGCAUCGUGCAAGAGCACUUGCAUGCAUUUCUGUCUAACAUGACAAGAGACGUUAUGCUACAUGUAGGAUAAAGAACUCAUCUAUAUCUAUAAGAUUAGGUUAUUUAGUACAAUUCCUUGAAAUGGUUUUUAAUUAAAUUUCCUAUCACUCUAUUGCCAAAAUAGAUGGGCGCUGCAACGCACGCGAUCUAUGAUCUAGUUUAAAUUGAAGGCGGACUAAUUGCUAGCUUCCAAUGCAUCCGUGCAUGUAAACAUUGGCUCAAACAAACUCUUUUCCGCAUGAUUUCCUCACGACACCAGAAGGUUGUUCUGUAGACGCUUUACCAUUCAUCUAAUGGUGUUGACUAUUGAGUGACGUGGUGCUUCUUAACUACCUAGUUCUCAUAUAUUUAUUUAGAAAGGGAACAUGUGUUAAAAAUUGCUAACAUUUUUCGAAAAUGUGUAUCUUUUAACAAUAUUUUAAAUUAUGAAAAUUUCACUAAAAAGUAAAAAAUUUCUAAUUUGGAGCAAUUUUUAAAUUGCCAUUUUCUUUUCAGAAAUAUUGAACAAUUUUGAAAAACAAUAAAGUUUUCAAAAAAUUGAUAAUCUUUUUUUCAUGUUCCAAAUAUUUUUCAAAACAGCAACAAAAUUUUCGAAUGCUGAACAUUUUCUAUAAUUUAUUUUUCUAAAAUUCUGAUUUUUGUUUUGAGAAUUUUUAAUUUAUGAACUAAAUUCUAUAAGAAAAUUAAAUUUGGAAGUGAAAAAAGAGAUAAGGGAAGGAGAAUAAAAAUAUAAAAAAAUACAGAAACCAAGAAAAAUGGCCAGCCCAUUAUUGGUUGUCCUGUCCGAAGCAUGGACUAUUUGUCGCCCUGUGCGGGAAAUAGAAUUUUCACAGCUGCAUGGGCAGAAAAUAAUUGGGCUGGCUUCGCUGGGCCACAGUGCACGGCCCAUGUACGAAAUUCUAUAAAAGCCUUUUUUUCGAGAGCAACUAAUUAACGAGUGCUCCUUCGGGAGCCUCGCAACGAUCAGCGCUACUUGGCACGCUCCCAGCCGCCUGCCACGUGUCGCGCUCUGGACGCUCCCUCCGGGUUUUUUUUUUCAUUUUUCCACACGCGUUUUCGGCUUUUUAAACUGUUUUUUUUCGACGUUUCGGUUUUCCACCGGUCUUCCUGAGCUUUUGGACCAAUUUUUUUCCGAAAAUUAUUAUUUUUCCAUGAAAAAACGCUUUUUCUUUUUUUCCCUUUCGCGAGAGUCACGGUUUUUCUUCCGCGAGAGGCACGGUUUUGCUUCGCGAGAGUCACGGCCGUGCCUCUCGAAAACGAAAAAAAACAUGCUUAUUUUCUUCCGCGAAGGCACGGUUUUGCUUCCGAGAGAGGCACGGUUGUGCUUUUGCGAGAGUCACGGCCGUGCCUCUCGGAAACGAAAAAAAUCGUGUUUUCUAUUUUUUUUCCUUCCGUGAAAGGCACGGUUUUGCUUUCGCGAGAGGCACGGUUGUGCUUUCACGACAGGCAUGGCCAUACCUCUCAAAAAUGGAAAAAUAACGCGUUUUUUUUGUUUCUCGAAAGGCAUGCUUGUGCUUUCGCGAGAGGCACGGCCGUGCCUCCUCGAAAACGAAAAAAACUUGUUUUUUACUUUUUUUUGUUUCCGCGAGAGGAACAAUUUCGCUUCCACGAGAGGCAUGGUUGUGAUUUCACGAGAGGCACGGGCGUGCCUCUUUCGGCAUGGGAAAAACCCGUGCUCCGGUUCGGUUUUUUCGUCUAGUUUUUUUCGUGAAAAAGAAGUUCGUCAAAACCUAUCAACAUCGGAUAUAGUUUUGAAGAUCUCGAUGCGAGGAAUCCAACGGUGAAAACGGUUCGAGAUUUAGACGCACAGUUAAAGAGAUAAAACGUUUUGAACAAACGAAUCUACGAAAAAAAGGAAAACUCCCAGGUUGCGACAAGUGGCGCACAUGCAGCGUGCCGCUUUUCGCAACCUGGGGAGGUGGAAGUGAUCUUUGCAAUGAGUACUUCUUAACUAGUGAUUUCGUUUUUUUUAGCAAACGAACGCAUAAGAAUUUUGUAUCGCCUCGGAUAGAAAAUAAAAUUUAUUUCAGCGGUGAACGGAUGAAACAUUUGGCGAAACGCGAGGUGCUUUAUUAGUAGGUAUAGAUAUAGAUAUAUCAAGUGCAUAUAAUAAUUCCGGACAUAUAUUUAUGCCUUGACAGUUGUUGUACUUCAUAGUUACAAUACCCUGUUCAGAGUAUCCAUACAUUGCUGACACUAGUGAAAACAACUGCCUUAUUGUCUGCUGGAGAUCAUUGGUUCCGGCUAUAUGCAGUUGUAGUGUUGUUAUUUCAGUGUCUGAAGUCUGAACGCAAUUAUCAGGCUCCCUCUAUUUGUAUAUAUACCUAUUAUAUUGAUGCGUGCAUUUGCACCGGCCAGCAUGUGAAAUCAGCUACAACAUCAAAGAGCAGUCAAGGUCCAGCUUGUGAAAAGUGGUGACCGAAAUGUCUUCCUUCCGCAGAUGCUUUGCAAAAGUUUAGAGGAAUCACAUGCAGCAACGCAAGGAAACCACCGGGAUCACCAGGAAGCUCGCUCUCAAGCUAUGGGAGCAGUCGGCGGGCGACAUCGAGUGCCUCCGUUCAAACAUCAAGCUGAUGGUCUUCCUUAACUUCCGAGGGGAUCUGUGCGAGCUGUUUGGCUGGAGAACUCGGAGACCGUUGGAGCUGUUAGGCCGAGCCAUGUACUCUGAACUUGAUAGCCAGGUAUUUGGCUGAACCUGAAAUUCAACGGAAUCAUCUUCAGAAAAUUGCUGAAGCUGCUAGGAAAAUUCAAUGUUGUGGUAAUAUCUUGUCAGCAGUUGCUCUUCUGUUCAUAGAUUUUGUCUAGCUCUGUGGCGUCAGUUAAACUGUUUAAAGGAAACGGUGCUGUAGUUUAAGCAGAUAUAAUUCACGUGUGUGUGUGUACUGUUGUCCUCAGGUUUCUCAAUUUUUGUACUCCGAAGAGAAGUUAGAAGGAAAAAAGAAAAGGAACGACUACAUUAGGAGAAGUCGAACCCACGGUCUUCUGAUCCAAAGUCAGACGCGCUAAUACACUUAACAGGAUUCUUCUUCUUUUACAACAUUAUUAAUCAUUCAUCCAUGUAUAUACCCGCAACCUGUUUGCCCAGUUCGCUCAGCAUCUCAGGGUAUACUCUGAACCUAUUCUGUUCUACAUCAGCUUCUCUUUUGGUCAGUUUCCCUUCAUCUUAUUGAUUGUUAUCCGUUUGUUCAUUCUUAUCCUCACAAUUUUUUGUAGCAACUUCCAGCCUUCACAGGUACGGCGCUGCUGUACCAGUUAGGGAAAUCGUCGGAACCAUUUUUUAUGGACGGAGGGCCAUAUGUCUUGUCUGUGAUUUUUUAUUUUUUCUGCACAGAAGUUGUGUUCUUGCUUGCUGAGUGCACUUUCUUCAAACAAGACAUAUGCUGCCUUCUUUUUGGUAAAUUUCCGCAGGAGCAACAUGUUGAGGCUAAGAUGCCUAGAGAACCAAAGAUAUUCUUGCCAAAACCUUCCAAGUGAAGGAAGAGGCAUCCCUGGAAAUUCUUUACUGGAUUUUAUAGGAGAUAUUAGCAUGCUACUAGUCAAUUUACCUUCUGCAUCGCGAUACCAAUUCGAGGCUUAGUUGAUAGUAACCUGUAACCAAGCUCUGCACGCUGCACCAACAUGAUGAAUUACUUCACCGUCUUAUGGCAAAAGUAUAUUCAGGAAGAAGCUU